rnacentral:rRNA from 1 species
UACAGAGGUCUCAAGCGUUGUUCGGAUUCAUUGGGCGUAAAGGGUGCGUAGGUGGCGCGGUAAGUCGGGUGUGAAAUUUCGGAGCUUAACUCCGAAACUGCAUUCGAUACUGCUGUGCUUGAGGACUGGAGAGGAGACUGGAAUUUACGGUGUAGCAGUGAAAUGCGUAGAGAUCGUAAGGAAGACCAGUGGCGAAGGCGGGUCUCUGGACAGUUCCUGACACUGAGGCACGAAGGCCAGGGGAGCAAACGGG